UACGGGGGGGAGCAAGCGUUGUUCGGAUUUACUGGGCGUAAAGCGUGCGCAGGCGGUUCGUUAAGUCAGCUGUGAAAGCCCCCGGGCUCAACCUGGGAAUUGCGGUUGAAACUGGCGAACUAGAAUCUGGCAGAGGGGGGGUGGAAUUCCACGUGUAGCAGUGAAAUGCGUAGAGAUGUGGAGGAACACCGAUGGCGAAGGCAGCCCCCCUGGGCUGAGAUUGACGCUCAGGCACGAAAGCGUGGGGAGCAAACAGG
rnacentral:rRNA from 1 species